rnacentral:lncRNA from 1 species
GCAUCAGGAGCAUAGCACAAACCACAGAGUGUGGACAAGCCGUCCCUGGAGAUGAGAGUAGUGCAGCUGAGCCACCGUGGGAUAAGGCAAGGAGAGUGUGACUUCACAGUGAUGUGUGUCAAUGUCACACAGGCCCAAGGAGAGAUACUGCUUUGACUACUAACUUGGUUCCUGAGGGGCUUUCUUCUUUGCCCUCCCUCCAGAGCCCAGUAUCAAGAUUUUCCUGGAGCCACCUCCCUUCCUGUCCAGGCUCAUCACCUUUCAUCCUUCCUGAAGGAUAGCCAUUACCACCAAACACAUGGAACUGCAUCAAUACCAAGCCCUGCUACUAAACCUCCAAGAACAUUCUCACCUGGAAAAGGCUACUGGCUUGUAAUGUUCACAAACUGGGGCAUGUGUGCUUUGGAAGACUGCAAGCAUCACUCCUCCCUGCAGUCCUCAGAAAUCAAGUGAGGGAAUCAGUGAACUGUCCAGGAGUAAUGUUCUC